UACCAAAAGAUCAUGUUUCGUGCUUUUUCUUCAGCUUGUUAUAAGGCCAGCAGUAGCUACGGCAUAGCAGAUAAUCGGGAUCUUCUGGGUUUGGAGGUUUACAACAUAAAAGAGUGAAUAAGAGGAAAAGAAGGAUGAUAGUCACGUCUUCACAGAGGAAGCAGCGUGACUGUGGGAACCAGUCUAAACCAAAGCCUGGUUUAAGCAUCUCCUUCCCUUUGAGGCUGUCCAGUGACAUAUUCGAGAGGCCGGUUACUAGAAUCCUAUCCCAUCCUGGCAAUGACAGAUCUCUGGGAGGACACCUUGGACCAGCCCCACCAGGUCUGCUGGCCCGAGAGACCGCAAGGACUCCAGGCCUGCAGCAGUGCAAGACAACUGAAACUCCGUUUUUCCUCCUUGAGCAAAUUUCAACAGCUUUGAGCCAGUGAGACUACAAGACAGCUGGCAAGACUCAAACCGCUACUGCACAAGUGACUGGCGGAUAACCUGGGAGACCAAGAACUCCCCUGCCGAUCAUGUUAAGAACACCACCUUUUGAACAUAGGAUGUAUGACAGAACAUUAAAAUCUUCUGCACUUGCACAAAAU